GACGAACGCUGGCGGCGUGCUUAACACAUGCAAGUCGAACGGAAAGGCCCUGCUUUUGUGGGGUGCUCGAGUGGCGAACGGGUGAGUAACACGUGAGUAACCUGCCCUUGACUUUGGGAGAACUUCAGGAAACUGGGGCUAAUACCGGAUAGGAGCUCCUGCUGCAUGGUGGGGGUUGGAAAGUUUCGGCGGUUGGGGAUGGACUCGCGGCUUAUCAGCUUGUUGGUGGGGUAGUGGCUUACCAAGGCUUUGACGGGUAGCCGGCCUGAGAGGGGGAACGGCCACAUUGGGACUGAGAGACGGAGCAGACUCCUACGGGAGGCAGCAGUGGGGAAUAUUGCACAAUGGGCGGAAGCCUGAUGCAGCAACGCCGCGUGCGGGAUGACGGCCUUCGGGUUGUAAACCGCUUUCGCCUGUGACGAAGCGUGAGUGACGGUAAUGGGUAAAGAAGCACCGGCUAACUACGUG
rnacentral:rRNA from 1 species